AGUGAACGCUGGCGGCAGGCCUAACACAUGCAAGUCGAACGAGUGGCGGACGGGAGAGGAAUAAAUCGGACUCUAAUCUGUCGUGGGGGAUCAAGUAGGGAAACUUACGCUAAUACCGCAUACGAUAGCAUGAGUCGAGGUCGGUUUAGCUAGUUGGCGGGGUAUAGGCCCACCAAGGCGACGAUCCGUAACUGGUCUGAGAGGAUGAUCAGCCACACUGGAACUGAGACACGGUCCAGACUCCUACGGGAGGCAGCAGUGGGGAAUAUUGGACAAUGGGCGCAAGCCUGAUCCAGCCAUACCGCGUGUGUGAAGAAGGCCUUCGGGUUGUAAAGCCCUUUUAUUGGGAAAGCGGUACCCAAAGAAUAAGCACCGGCUAACUUCGUGCCAGCAGCCGCGGUAAUAC
rnacentral:rRNA from 1 species